UACGUAGGGUGCAAGCGUUAAUCGGAAUUACUGGGCGUAAAGCGUGCGCAGGCGGUUUUGUAAGUUUGUCGUGAAAUCCCCGGGCUCAACCUGGGAAUGGCGAUGAAGACUGCAAGGGCUAGGAAUCUGGCAGAGGGGGGUAGAAUUCCACGUGUAGCAGUGAAAUGCGUAGAGAUGUGGAGGAACACCGAUGGCGAAGGCAGCCCCCUGGGUCAAGA
rnacentral:rRNA from 1 species